UGAGUAACACGUAUCCAACCUGCCGUCUACUCUUGGCCAGCCUUCUGAAAGGAAGAUUAAUCCAGGAUGGCAUCAUGAGUUCACAUGUCCGCAUGAUUAAAGGUAUUUUCCGGUAGACGAUGGGGAUGCGUUCCAUUAGAUAGUAGGCGGGGUAACGGCCCACCUAGUCAACGAUGGAUAGGGGUUCUGAGAGGAAGGUCCCUCACAUUGGAACUGAGACACGGUCCAA
rnacentral:rRNA from 1 species